rnacentral:rRNA from 1 species
AUUGAACGCUGGCGGCAGGCUUAACACAUGCAAGUCGAACGAGUGGCGGACGGGUGAGUAACGCGUCGGAAUCUGGCGUGUGGUGGGGGAUAACUACGGGAAACUGUAGCUAAUACCGCGUACUAUGGGAGCGGCCCAUGUGGGAUUAGGUGGUUGGUGGGGUAAAGGCCUACCAAGGCGACGAUCACUAGCUGGUCUGAGAGGAUGACCAGCCACACCGGGACUGAGACACGGCCCAGACUCCUACGGGAGGCAGCAGUGGGGAAUAUUGGACAAUGGGGGCAACCUGACGCAGCCAUGCCGCGUGAAUGAAGAAGGCCUUCGGGUUGUAAAGUACUUUCGGUAGCGAGGCGGUACCUGAAGAAUAAGCACCGGCUAACUCCGUGCCAGCAGCCGCGGUAAUUC